rnacentral:rRNA from 1 species
CGGCCACAUCACGCUGAAAACCGGUUCCCGUACGAUCACCGAAGUUGAGCAACGUCGAACCUGGUCAGUAAUUAGAUGGGUGACCGCUUGGGAAUACCAGGUGCUGUAAG